rnacentral:rRNA from 1 species
GACGAAACGUCCUAACGUUGUUCGGAUUCACUGGGCUUAAAGGGCGCGUAGGCGGACGAGUAAGUCCGGGGUGAAAUCUUUCGGCUCAACCGGAAAAGUGCCUCGGAAACGACUCGCCUCGAGGGGGGUAGGGGCCUGUGGAACUUCGGGUGGAGCGGUGAAAUGCGUUGAUAUCGGAAGGAACGCCGGUGGCGAAAGCGCACAACUGGUCCUCUUCUGACGCUGAGGCGCGAAAGCCAGGGGAGCAAACGGG